AACCCCACCACCAGCGUAUAUAAGAAGCACAUAUACCCCUUUCAUCACCCUCCUUCGUUCAAAAGUCUCUCUUCUCCCCCUCUUCAGAUCAAAAUGAAUGCAGCUGCCAAUUUGCAGUGGAACUUUGAACUCUUGAACAUGCAUCAGGCUGCGUGGUCGAAAGCCUAGAAUGAUAAGCAACUUAUACAAGUUGAAGAUGAUCAUCGUCAUGCCUUCGAGCAACCUUGAGAAAAUGUCAAUCAGGCCAUUCAACAGGUCCGACAAAAUGCAGCUCUAGUCCUAUCUUCCAUCGCCAAGGCUAGGGCAUUUAUAGGCGUUUGGCAUGAGUUAGAAAAUAAUCGUGGUGCUCUGAACACUGUUCAAGUUGGGAACAUGAAUAAGAGAUAUAGAAUGACUAUCCGCCGCUGGCUGGAACAACGUCAAUUCACUAUUCAUAAUCCCCAGUAUACUUUAUACUUGCCAGCAGAACCAAUCCAGUAGUCCUUUUUUUCUUUUUUUUUAAUCUUUCUGGACCAUACCGACCCUUUAUAUAUAGUGUAGUUUGUUUGAGCUGUUUAAUAUAACUAUUAUCUUUGACAAUUCA